UUUUACUGGUGGGCGACCUAGAACUGAAAGUAUUCCCGCAUUUUACUGGUGGGCGACCUAGAACAGAAAGUAAAAGGACAGAAAUGUAUGCCUCUGUUAUAUGGGCGGGCUCCCAACUUCAAUGCUAACUUAGGAGGAAAUGUGUCUCCUAUGGGUAAAAGUAAACUUAGGAGGAAAUGUGUCUCCUAUGGGUAAACUAAACUUAGGAGGAAAUGCGUCUCCUAUGGGUAAAAGUAAAUUUAGGAGGAAAUGCGUCUCCUAUUGGUAAACUAAACUUAGGAAGUGCGUCUCCUAUUGGCAGAACUAGACUUAGGAAGUGCGUCUCCUAUUGGCAAAGGCGUGGAAUGUAUUCCCUUGUUAUACAGGUGGGCGCCUAAAAUAUGCAAUGGACAGACAAGAAAAGUAUUCCUUCUCGUUAUUCAGGUGGGCGCCUGGCUUCAACAACAACUUUGAAAAUAAAAUCCUUUUCGAGGGCGGAUGAACCCAAAAUAUCCUAUUCGAGGGCGGAUGAACCCAAAAUAUCCUAUUCGAGGGCGGAUGAACCCAAAAUAUCCUAUUCGAGGGCGGAUGAACCCAAAAUAUCCUAUAUCCUAUUCGAGGGCGGAUGAACCCACAAUAUCCUAUU
rnacentral:lncRNA from 1 species